rnacentral:rRNA from 1 species
UGGGGAAUCUUGCACAAUGGGGGCAACCCUGAUGCAGCGACGCCGCGUGAGCGAUGAAUCCCUUCGGGGCGUAAAGCUCUUUCGACCGGAACGAUAAUGACGGUACCGGGAGAAGAAGCUGCGGCUAACUACGUGCCAGCAGCCGCGGUAAUACGUAGGCAGCAAGCGUUGUUCGGAGUUACUGGGCGUAAAGAGUGCGUAGGCGGUUUUCUAAGUUCGGUGUGAAAUCUCCCGGCUUAACUGGGAGGGUGCGCCGAAGACUGGGAAGCUGGAGUGUGGGAAAGGCAGGCGGAAUUCCUGGUGUAGCGGUGAAAUGCGUAGAUAUCAGGAGGAACACCGGCGGUGUAGACGGCUUGCUAGACCAUAACUGACGCUGAGGCACGAAAGCGUGGGUAGCAAACA